GCGGUCGUGGCGGAAUGGUAGACGCGCAGCGUUGAGGUCGCUGUCCUUGAAAGGGGGUGGAAGUUCAAGUCUUCUCGACCGCA
rnacentral:tRNA from 1 species